UUAGAUUUCUCUCUUUACCCUUCUCUCUCCCCCGUUUAUCUCUCUCUCUCAAAUGAGAGCAUCUCCCAAUGACAACACCACUCUGUACCAGAUCCCUUUCUUCAUCGUCUUCUCAAUCCUCCAGGCUCCAGCUUCAAUUCCAUGUGAUCUUCACAACACAAUUAUUCAUGGCUGGCAGUAAUGAAAUCAACGUGAAUGAAGCUAAGGGUUUCAGUAGCGGCUUUGACGGUGACAGCGGUGAUGUCGGUUUAGGGUUUCAGUAGCAGCAGCGGUUUUAGGGUUUCAGUGAUGGUACCGUCGGAGGUGGGGCCGAAGGUGGUUUAUUGUGGUGAUGGUGGUGUAUGGUUGUAGCCUGCAGGUGAGGUGGUUGUGGUCAGCAGGAUGAGGUGUUGUACGGUGGUGGUGUGUGAUGGUUAGGGUGGUUCUUGGUGGUGUUUAGAGAGAGAGAGAGAGAGACUUAUGGUGGCCCUGUUAGUACAGUGCAAUGUGUGUGUGGCUCAACUUUGGUCCCCUAUACUUUUAAUCUUUCGCAAAUGUUUCGUUUUACGCUUUGUUCUAAAUUUUUCGAGUUAAUACAGUGCAAUGUGUGUGUGUGGCUCAACGUUUUUA